rnacentral:lncRNA from 1 species
UUAUAACUAGUCUAAAGGGUAACCUCAUCGCUACUGUUCACCGUAUCUUCCAAAUCCUAUAUUUUUCCUUCUCUUCCAAGAUUAUAAGUUUACUAAAAUCCCCCAAAGCUGUCCAACACCCUUGUAUGCGUGAAUCUAUCUCUUCAUCCUUACGAAUCAACUCAAAUUAGUGAAGCACAGAACAUGUCUUCAAGAAGAGCUCAUAGCUGCUUUGGACCAUAAUCUUUUUCUUCAUUAGUGCAAUUUAUGUGAGUUCUAUUACAUUAACUUCUUUUAGCAUAAGAGUUAUGGGAACUCAGUAUCCUCUAAUUAUGCCUCUUGACAUGUAUCAUUUGAUUCUAUCUCGAGACACAUAUUCUCUGAUUCAUCCUCUAGACAUGUAACCUCUAAUUCUGCAUAUGAACACUUAUCUUCUGAUUCUGUCUCUGGACAUGUAUCCUCUGAUUCUACCUCUAGACACAUAUCAUCUGAUUUUGCUUCUAUACAUGUAUUGUUUGACUCUAUGCUUGGUCACAUAUCCUUUGGCUCUAGUUAUGAUGUAUCUGACCUACAUGGGUUUGGUCAUGCUACCUCUGGUUAUAGUUUGUCUCAUGUCAUGUUGUCUUUGAUUUGUUACUCAAAGAUGCACCACCUCUAGUAUGGAGUUAUGCCUCUGGUUCUAGCUUUGCUUAGGGACUUAGGAUUUAAUUCCCACUUGAUGUUCAAUAUAUUGUUAAGUUAUUAUAAGUGUUAUGGAG